AAUGCGACAUGCUCAGGCAGGAAAACAGGAAAGGGAGUUCAAGGGUGUCCAACAUGAAAUACUCACAGAGUUAGGGGAAACCCACAGCUCAUGGCAGCACUCCAGUUUCUGAAGACACAGCUCCAAGGUCCAGCAAGGUGAGCAGGCAGGGCAGUCUCUCUGACUCCUCACUAGCAAGGUCCAGGGGACUGCUUUCAUGGAUCUGAAAAACAAGUCCAACAACACACAUCACGGCAUCGACCAGCGGCUGAUACUCAUAGAU